rnacentral:rRNA from 1 species
GACGAACGCUGGCGGCGUGCCUAAUACAUGCAAGUAGAACGCACAGGAUGCACCGUAGUUUACUACACCGUAUUCUGUGAGUUGCGAACGGGUGAGUAACGCGUAGGUAACCUGCCUGGUAGCGGGGGAUAACUAUUGGAAACGAUAGCUAAUACCGCAUAAGAACAUUUACUGCAUGGUAGAUGUUUAAAAGGUGCAAAUGCAUCACUACCAGAUGGACCUGCGUUGUAUUAGCUAGUAGGUGAGGUAACGGCUCACCUAGGCGACGAUACAUAGCCGACCUGAGAGGGUGAUCGGCCGCACUGGGACUGAGACACGGCCCAGACUCCUACGGGAGGCAGCAGUAGGGAAUCUUCGGCAAUGGGGGGAAACCUGACCGAGCAACGCCGCGUGAGUGAAGAAGGUUUUCGGAUCGUAAAGCUCUGUUGUUAAGGAAGAACGAGUGUGAGAAUGGAAAGUUCAUACUGUGACGGUACUUAACCAGAAAGGGACGGCUAACUACGUG